UCAACUCCUCGGACAGAGGGUGAGAUCUUACAGUCUUCCAAUUUGAAGAACUUUAGUUUUGGUGAACUGAGGGCAGCCACUAGGAACUUCCGUCCGGAUAGUGUGUUGGGUGAAGGAGGAUUUGGCUGUGUCUACAAAGGAUGGAUUGAUGAACAUUCACUGACACCUACCAGGCCUGGAACUGGCAUGGUUAUUGCUGUGAAGAGGCUUAACCAAGAGAGUUUCCAGGGUCACCAGGAAUGGUUGACCGAAAUCAACUUUCUCGGCCAGCUUUAUCAUCCAAAUCUUGUGAAAUUGAUUGGAUACUGUCUAGAGGAUGACCAUCGGCUUCUGGUGUAUGAGUUCAUGCCAAAGGGCAGCUUGGAGAAUCACUUAUUUAGAAGGGCUUCUUAUGUUCAACCACUUUCUUGGAAUCUUCGAAUUAAGAUUGCUCUUGAUGCUGCUAAGGGCCUGGCAUUUCUUCACAGUGAUAAGGCCAAAGUGAUAUAUCGAGA
rnacentral:misc_RNA from 1 species